GUGAAACUGCGAAUGGCUCAUUAAAUCAGUUAUCGUUUAUUUGAUAGUACCUUACUACUUGGAUAACCGUGGUAAUUCUAGAGCUAAUACAUGCUAAAAAUCCCGACUUUUUGGAAGGGAUGUAUUUAUUAGAUAAAAGACCAAUGCUUCUUCGGAAGUUCUUUGGUGAUUCAUGAUAACUUUUCGAAUCGCAUGGCCUCGAGCCGGCGAUGGUUCAUUCAAAUUUCUGCCCUAUCAACUUUCGAUGGUAGGAUAGUGGCCUACCAUGGUUUCAACGGGUAACGGGGAAUUAGGGUUCGAUUCCGGAGAGGGAGCCUGAGAAACGGCUACCACAUCCAAGGAAGGCAGCAGGCACGCAAAUUACCCAAUCCCGACACGGGGAGGUAGUGACAAUAAAUAACAAUACAGGGCUUUUUAUGGUCUUGUGAUUGGAAUGAGUACAAUUUAAAUACCUUAACGAGGAACAAUUGGAGGGCAAGUCUGGUGCCAGCAGCCGCGGUAAUUCCAGCUCCAAUAGCGUAUAUUAAAGUUGUUGCAGUUAAAAAGCUCGUAGUUGAACUUUGGGCUUGGUCGGCCGGUCCGCCUCAUUGGUGUGCACUGACCCGACCGAGCCUUUCCUUCUGGAUAACUAUAGUGCUUUUUAUUAAGUGCUAUAGGGAGCCAGGACUUUUACUUUGAAAAAAUUAGAGUGUUCAAAGCAGGCAUACGCUCGAAUAUAUUAGCAUGGAAUAAUAGAAUAGGACGUACGGUUCUAUUUUGUUGGUUCUCUAGGACCGUCGUAAUGAUUAAUAGGGACAGUCGGGGGCAUCAGUAUUCAAUUGUCAGAGGUGAAAUUCUUGGAUUUAUUGAAGACUAACUACUGCGAAAGCAUUUGCCAAGGAUGUUUUCAUUAAUCAAGAACGAAAGUUAGGGGAUCGAAGACGAUCAGAUACCGUCGUAGUCUUAACCAUAAACUAUGCCGACUAGGGAUCGGGCGGUGUUCUUUUUUUGACCCGCUCGGCACCUUACGAGAAAUCAAAGUCUU
rnacentral:rRNA from 1 species